rnacentral:rRNA from 1 species
ACGGGACGGGUAGCAAAGGCGGCGCGGGGCUCGGCUGCGACUCGCUCGGUGGUUUAGAUGGUCGGCACUUCCGGCCCGCCUCUCGUGCGACGGCCGUCGAAGGGGAGGGGAGGGGAGGAGCAGAGCGGUAAAGGCGCCAUAGCCUCGUCCCGUCUAGAACAGACCGCAGAAGAACCUACCGACGACGACAUUUUUGUUCACCACCAAAGACAUUGUGUGUCGUCGUCACCGAUGUGAGUUGCUCUCUAGACAAAAAUGUACCUAGAUGAGCAAGCUUACGGUUUCUUACGUUUUCGUUCUUCUGUUUUUUCGGGUGAAGUGACACACAAUUUCGAUGAAGGCGCUUUCACCUUAAUCUAAAAUUACUAGGUAGAACCUUCGUCUUCAAAGUUCUUCUGACCCUAUUAGCAAAAUUAGACGGUGCAUAAUGUCUAUAUAUACUGAACUUUGGUUCCGGUUGAUGUAAGAGUGAGUUCUUUGUCUCUUGAGGAUGACCACUACUUCUAUCAUGUGGAUACCUAUACACCUUACCAAUGCAUUUGUUACUACUGGCCCGUGAAUACUUCCACUAUUUCAUAAGCAGCGGAUGAAGACGACCUCGUCUCACGUAACUAGGACUGACAUCGACCCACCUCGUUACCCACGUAGCACGUCCCGGAGCAUUCCUAUAUAUGAUACUCGGUUUACUUCAUUUUCGACGAUAUCAAUGAACACCUCCAGAGACGGGACCAAACUUACUACAGUAGUCUGUCCAUCAUAAGUGGGAUCUCUGUAUACCCCAAUUCUUAUAACAACCUUAAGGUAAACCGAAAGCACCUAAAAAACUUUUUCCAGAUUUUCUUUACGGUGAAAGUGCAUUAGAUCACCUCUUAUAAUUAGAACGACCACCUUCAAAAGAUCCUCAGAGGGCACCUCCUGGAUUUUGAUCACUUUAACAUCUAUCAUAUGUCCGGUCUUCUUAACUAUACGAAAAACAUGAACCACCUUUACCAUGGGUACGUCCUCGUUUACGAUAGGUACUACUCACGGCAUUUUCUUUCGAGUUCCAAAGGCAACAUCGUCAAGGUUUCUGGUAACUGUUACUGUAUGGAAAUUACCUGUUUUGUAAACCAAAACUAUGACGACACCUUCUUCGAGUUGCCCGGUAAUUGAGACGGAUAUAUCUCCGUGCUUCACGCAUGGUACCAUAGCCGAACCAGUUUAAUUACCCUUCUUCGUCACCAAAGUAACGUUACGUACGAAGAGAAAGUUCACCCGUCCAACUACAGACGAAUUAUGGUCUCCAGAGUAAACGCGAGCUACCUCUUAUACCACAAAAUGUCGUGGAGCUCGUCAAUUAUUUCUUGUUCCCUAAGACACACCAAACACAACGACUUCGACGUCCUGUUCUCAAUGACGUUUUGAGUCCACGUUGACUACGUAGUCCUUUACGUUAUGAAUCGCUGUAACCACAAGUGUACGUUGUUUUCUAGUUCUGCGUAAAGUUCCCGUAGCCACAGGUACGACUAUAUUUUAUGUAGCUGGGCUGCAUGUACCAGGCCCGAACAGCACGGUUACGUAGGCUACGCUAAGACACGUGGCACGAACCUGUUUUACGGCAGGUACCUCGCAAACGGCCCAAGUCACCGUAGUGGAGGACGUAGACGUUGUGAGUGAUGCACAUGGAGGGCCAGUGCGUUCAGUAGUGUCGUGGCUUCGCACACUUGGUGUUUCCGUCCUACACCGUGGCAACGGAGUGCAGGUGUCCGGUCGGCCUGAAGGCGACUGGUGGAGAGCGAUGUCUUGAACUUACUAUUCACGAUGCCUUAAAGCCACAGUUCAAAAACGGGGUACGUUAGUCAAGCCAAAAAGAGAAACACAUUAGUCAAUUCAACAAGUUACAAUUUCAUGAUCUCUUAGACUCACGACACGAUGUAUUAAUCAGGUCAAAAACGAACACGUUAGUCAAGUCAAGUUGAAACAUUGGGGAAAAUAAAAAGGGAACGAGUCGGCCAAGUCAAAAAGGGUAAAUUGGACAGGUGGAAAACUAAAAACACAGUGGUCAAGUCAGCCAUAAAUCUACAAGUUUUAAAGGCAACACAUUAGUUACAUCAAAUACGGAACAUGAAUAUUGGGCAAGUCAGUAAAUAUGAGGGAGGCAAGUUUUUAUUCACGGUCUUGUGAAUGAAACCUUAUCUCCCUCAUUAUACAAAGUCGC